UACGUAGGGUGCAAGCGUUGUCCGGAAUUAUUGGGCGUAAAGAGCUCGUAGGCGGUUUGUCGCGUCGGCUGUGAAAACCCGCAGCUCAACUGUGGGCUUGCAGCUGAUACGGGCGGGCUGGGAUUCGGUAGGGGAGACUGGAAUUCCUGGUGUAGCGGUGAAAUGCGCAGAUAUCAGGAGGAACACCGGUGGCGAAGGCGGGUCUCUGGGCCGAUAUCGACGCUGAGGAGCGAAAGCGUGGGGAGCGAACAGG
rnacentral:rRNA from 1 species